GACCCCAGGUCAGGCGGGAUUACCCGCUGAAUUUAAGCAUAUCA
rnacentral:rRNA from 1 species